rnacentral:lncRNA from 1 species
CUGCAGCUCCAGGUAGAUGGCACGAGACCAGGAACACAGGUUCCCUUGAGUCAGAGCAUGGAGAGUACAAGAGCAGCCGUCCCACAGCCUGGCUGGGCAGUCAACUGUGGCAGCCCUCACCCUCGGGGCCCGGCCCAUCCACUGAGGGGACCUGCAAGAUGCAACUCCUGUUCUAGGCUUCACUUGGCAUCUGGAAUAAACACACACGUAGCUGCUUCUCUUAUGUCACCACUAUGGAAAGCCAAAGGCUGAGUCCUGGAGUGUCCGCGCCAGCAGCAGGUCAUGGAGUUCUUCUGGGUCCACGAUGGCCCUGCUGAAAUACUGAAAAAGGAAGGCAGAUCCAACGGUUGUAACUCAAACAGGCCCCUUAAAACUGCCAGGACUGGGCUUGGACUAAGCAAGCAAUUUUUGAGCACCGACUGUAUGCUAGUAACGGAUGGCUCUGUCCUCAAGAUGAGACUCUCACAGGAGAGAGGAUUAAUUCCACGUCAUUCCGACUGCACUGAUGAGCCCUGGAACAGCAGUGUAGACACAAGACCAAGUAAGGGGCCGAGUCCAACUACUGAGAGGCCAGGGAGGCCUCCUGGGGUGGUGGUGGAGACUGAGCCUGGACAGUCGGAAGGGUCUGCCCGUGACCCGGGCCACAGAGCAAGAGCACAGACAGAGUGCAGCUGGCGGACGCUCAGCUCCAUCUUCUGAGAGCCCUGGGCUGAAGUGCCGGGGACCAGGCCCGACGGGGUCAGUCCUGUGUCUCAGAGUCAGCCCCGUUCACUGGGCUCACUGUCAGGUGGGUGCAGUCAGGAAACCGGCAGGCAGGUGCAGUCGGGAAACCAGUGUGGAGCCUUAGCUGCUCCAUGGGGUCAGAGCUUAGGUGCCAGUGGUGCCUGCUCAGAUCUCACGCCGGCACCCCUACUCCGUCUGGGGCUCUGGGGGGGAUGAGGAUGCCCCGUGCUCCACGUUCAUGAUGCUGUGACUCUGAGACCAGAGCCCGCCUCUUCUCAGCAGAUAGAGCAUGUGUGUCACAUGGGAGCUGGCCCUGAUGCCCUCCUGUGACUGUCCAGGCCACCACAGAAGCCAACCAGGGUGUGAGAGAAUGGCCCAGCCCAGCAGCCCGGGCUUCAUGUGGGCGCCAAGCUUGAGACUGGGUCUGAGGCGUCACCAAGGACACUGACAGGGUAAGAACGAGAAAGUGGUACAGGGUCUGCAUGCAGCCUCGGGCUUUUAUCCUAAAAGCUGCUGGGGCCUCUGAAGAAUUGACAGUGAAGAUUAAAAUAACCCGAAUGGGGUUCUGAAGGCACAGGUCCACAGUGGGUGAUGAUAGGCGGAGACAAGCCCGCGGGGACAGCUGCUGGGGAGCAACUGCAGGCCAUAGGUGGGACAGAAGACGGCAGCGCUAGGCCUCCCACACCUGCACCUAUGCGGGUGUGGGUGUCGCCUUCCUGAGGCUUUGCACACCCACAGAGGGUGACAGAGGGGGGCUGUGCCAGGCUCCUGCUGCCUUCUCUGGGCCACACAGUGGGCGGUGGGGGGUCAGGUCCAGGCCCCUCCUGCUGGUGCAGCUGUCCCCUCCUCCUUCAAGGCUCAGCCCCAGGACCACCUCCUGGGGAACACCUUCCCUGACCCCGCCUUGUUCAGAGGCCCCACAGACUACUUCAUAAACUGAAUACACCUCCUGCCUCUGACCUGGAAGGUGAUCCUGAGGAUGACAUCACGCCGCUUUCCACAUGAGUCCGCACCGUGCAGCUCAGAAUACACUCACACCACGUCCGUGAGUAAGUAGAUGAGGCCAUUGUUCCACAACAGAGCACUUCCUUGCCGAAAUGGUCACCCUUCACAGCAGUGGUUUUUAGACACACAGAACCAGCCCUUCGAGAGGCCAUGCGUUCAUCCAGUGUGUAAAACAGAUAAAGGCAGAAGUCUCCCGGCGGACUGGGCAUGAGGAUGCCCCGCUGUGGACGCCAACAGCACCACUGGGCAGUGCCUGUGUCUCCGAGGAGCUGAAAACCUGGACUCUAAAGAGUCCUCACUGUAACAGAUCAGCAGCUGCCCUUCUCCUGACAGCACAUUUCUCAUUUCCUGGUAAGGAGAGCAGAGUUCUGAUGUGAAAGGCCACAGCGGCUGUAACUCAGGACUGGUCCUCCAGCGCCGCUGUAAUUUGUCAGGGUCCUCCUCCAUGAUUUCCUCGAUAACUCCUCACCACCAUCAUCUAAUUGCUGAUUUCUAACAUAUAUUUAGAAACAAUGUUCAUUACAGUAAAUUAAAUGGGACAAGAAUGAAAUUUG